GACCCAGGUAACCAGCAAAUAAGCAUCUCUCAGGCUGAGGACAGGAGAAUGUAUGAAAAUGUGUCUUGAACAUUCCUGACCUUCAGCGGAUGAACUGUGGCAGCCACGCGUUACAGGACCCUGUUUGGCUGGGUUCUACUGCAGCGGAGGUGUUUCUAGUCCCACACCUACAGAUGGUCUUCUGGGGAAUGCAUGCCCCAAGGGAAAUUACUGUCCUCUGGGCUCUGCCUUUCCACAGCCGUGUCCUCCUGGUUAUUAUAGCAACUCAACUGGGAAUACUGGGAUUGAGGACUGUCUCCUGUGUGAUGCAGGGUACUUCUGCAAUGGGACUGGACUUGUGUCUCCAACUGGAUUAUGUGAGGCUGGAUUCUACUGUAGUGGAGGAGCCAUUUCUCCUAAGCCUCCCAGGACAACAGUCAGUGGGGGACCAUGUCCACCUGGACACUACUGUGUGGUGGGGAGCACCAGAGCCCAGCCGUGCCCUGCAGGGAGUUACAGCCCAUCUUGGAGCAUGGCACAGUGUCUGGAGUGCCCAGAGGGCUUUUACUGCACAGUGGCUUCCACAAACUACACGGAUUGCCCUGCAGGUCACUAUUGCCCCAGGAAUACACAGUUUGCCACACAGUAUCCUUGUCCCCCUGGAACCUAUAGUGAAGCUUUAAAUAUCUGGGAUGCUUCCAAGUGCCAGCUGUGUCCUCCUGGAAGGGUCUGUUCCAAGCCGGGUUUAGCAAGACCAGAUGGACUGUGCAUGCCUGGAUGGUUUUGUCCGCCUGGAUCCACAUCAAGCAAACCAGUGUUUCCUGGAAAUUACACUGGUACGAAGGGAAACAAUAAAGAUGUGUGAUGGUGAUUAUUAUUGAGGAGG
rnacentral:lncRNA from 1 species